rnacentral:rRNA from 1 species
UGGGGAAUCUUGGACAAUGGGGGCAACCCUGAUCCAGCCAUGCCGCGUGAGUGAUGAAGGCCUUAGGGUCGUAAAGCUCUUUCGCCUGUGAAGAUAAUGACGGUAGCAGGUAAAGAAACCCCGGCUAACUCCGUGCCAGCAGCCGCGGUAAUACGGAGGGGGUUAGCGUUGUUCGGAAUUACUGGGCGUAAAGCGCACGUAGGCGGACCAGAAAGUUGGGGGUGAAAUCCCGGGGGCUCAACCCCCGGAACUGCCUCCAAAACUAUUGGUCUAGAGUUCGAGAGAGGUGAGUGGAAUUCCAAGUGUAGAGGUGAAAUUCGUAGAUAUUUGGAGGAACACCAGUGGCGAAGGCGGCUCACUGGCUCGAUACUGACGCUGAGGUGCGAAAGUGUGGGGAGCAAACAGGAUUAGAUACCCUGGUAGUCCACACCGUAAAACGAUGAAUGCCAGUCGUCGGGUAGCAUGCUAUUCGGUGACACACC